UGAUAACUCACAUGUCUAGUUACCACUGUUCUGAUAAUGUAAGCAUAGAAUGGAACAAAGGUAACCAAGUAUUUAAAUUAUAUAUGUGAGUGAAUUGAUAACUCACAUGCCUAGUUACCACUGUCCUGAUAAUGUAAGCAUAGAAUGGAACAAAGGUAACCAAAUAUUUAAAUUUCACAUGCGAGUGAAUUCGGUGCCAGCGGG